AUGGCGCUCCUCCACCGCUUCACAAGGCUCAACGACCGAUUGAACACAGCAGUGUUCACUUUCAUUGUGACGAGAACGGUUACACGAGACCUACACCGUGAUGCAGUGACGAAAGACUUCCUCCAUGGAUACCACCGCUGGGCGCUCUCAUUCGUGCGAACAGACAAGACUCUCGGAGUGUUUCUAGUCAUAAAGAAUCCAGCCGCUGCCUCGCAGUGCUUUGUGGAUUUCACACUGACGCUCUUGAGCCGUGAGCAUUUUUCCCAAAAUGAAUGUCUCUCCAAGAAACGGGUCGCCUUCAGCAUUGAUUCGCCCGUUCACGGUGCAGCCAAAUGGCUGCCCCUGGCAGAGCUACAUUUAAGAAGGUUCGCCGACGAGACCGGGGAGUUCUUGGUGGAACUCACUAUGGCAAAUGCUUUCACUGUAUUCGAUGCAAACAUUCAGGUGCGAAUAGAAAUCCAAAAAUUCGUAAACCGAAAUUCGUAUUCCAGGAUAGAAGCGUUGUACUUCACGUUUGGAGGCUAUGAAUGGAACGUCGCAAUCUUUCCUCACGGCAACCCGGACGACAACGACGGCUCGAGGAAUCCGAAGGUGCAUUUGAACCGCCUGACAGGCUUCGAGAGCCCCUGUCGAGUUCAGUACCGAGUAGUCCUGGGAAAAGGCUCAAUGGAAAUCGAAUCAGGACUUCUUGACCAAAUAUCCGACUUGUCCGGACGCAUCAGAGGAUUCUCCAUAAAGGAGUUAUCCUUGUUCAGGGAUCUGAUUUCUCAAAGACAUGCCCAUCUACACUUACAAGUUCAAAUGGUAUCGGCCAAUGUGAUAUCAGAGGCAAAAGUUCACAUUCGCGGCCACAUGCCCCCACAACAAGGAAUUCUGGGGUUGAGUCCGCCCCCUGCCGCAACUUGCCACGACCGGGACAAACAAUCUUGGACCAUCGAAACGGAUUCCGAUCGAGACGAUCUGCGGCUAAAGUUGUUCUUCACCGACAUAAACACAGUGCCGCGGAAUCAUAUACGAUUCGUCGCUUGGAAUACCUACGUUAUCCGCGCACCACCGGGAGGAGGCAAAGAAAGUAUCUUGGCGAUCAAUGCGCCUCAUUCUGCGUAUUACGUCCAAGACGGCAUGGACCUGGGUGUACUCAUGGAUGUUGACAUCCCAACAAGAUCGCUUCGUGACCAUCUAUCACCCUACGUGAACUCGUGCAACCAGCUGACUAUACAUAUCGAGUGGCUAGAUAGUCAAUUGCUCUUCGGCGCAAACUACCACCGCUACGAUGAUAUCGCCCGAAUGCAACAGCAACAGAUGAAACGUGAGAUCGCUGCCUUACAAUCUGAUAAUAUCACUCUGGAGCAUCAAGUCCUGGCCUACCGUAAAUCAGCAUCCUUCGGGCACUCACCUAAUCAUCGGUCGCCGCGACAGGGCGGAGUCCCCUCACCGGAUCCUCAUUCAAGGGUCCGAUGCCACUCGGAUCAGGAAGAUCAAGUCUUUUAUCUUUCGCGACGGAUGACAGAUCUUCAAGCUGGGGAGAUACUCUACAGGAGUACCGAUGGAAUCGACUUCAAUUAGACCGUCGUCAGUGGAAUUUUACGGAAAUUCAUAGGGAGGAGACACACUUCAGGACUCAGGAUGCGAUAUGGAGCUGAACGCAUAUCAUCAGUUUAUGACGGAGACCUGCUUCAAGCGAGUUCUUCGCUGAGUAUGAUGAAAAACCAAGGAACGGUCGCCCUCGUCGUUAGCGAAUUUCUCCAGGAGGUCGGCGGUUGAGGCUCCUGAAGAAAUAAAGCGCUAUUUGUGC